AAACAUAGAGAUCCUGCUAAAAUAUAGCCAAAUUUUCAUCCCUAAGUUUUUUCCCCUUUAUUUUACUCUCCCUCUGAUUACCAUUUUCAUUUAAUGGUUUAGAAAAAAAUGAAGAUAAAAUCCUUUUGUUUUCCUUUCUCUCCAUCUUACGAGGUCGCACCAUCCAACGGACCCUCGACGUUUGACCCACUUCAAGUGCGACGACGCAGAAGCCACUUUGACGACGACCCACUGUUUGCCACCCACCUCGGUGAACCACUUCGACCCACAACUUUAGUAAGCUCCGAACGACUCCGUCGCAAUGGCCAAGGCUCACAAUUUCUAUCCUUCUCCAUCUUCUGCUCAAAUGAUUUGUUUAUUUGUUCUGUUUUGUAUUUACCCCACCUUGAUUAAAUCUUGUGGAUUUUUAACUUAAGGUUGUCUAAGUUGUACUUAGUAUGGAUUGAAGUUGGAUAAAUUUAAGUGAUCAAACUUUUAAUGAAUAUUCUAAUGGUGUGUUGAUAACUUGAUUGGAGUUGCAACCAUAGAAGAACCAG
rnacentral:lncRNA from 1 species